AUUGAACGCUAGCGGGAUGCUUUACACAUGCAAGUCGAACGGCAGCGCGAGAAAGCUUGCUCUCUUGGCGGCGAGUGGCGAACGGGUGAGUAAUGUAUCGGAACGUGCCCAAUAGCGGGGGAUAACUACGCGAAAGCGUGGCUAAUACCGCAUACGUCCUACGGGAGAAAGGGGGGGAUCGCAAGACCUCUCACUAUUGGAGCGGCCGAUAUCGGAUUAGCUGGUUGGUGGGGUAAAGGCCUACCAAGGCGACGAUCCGUAGCUGGUUUGAGAGGACGACCAGCCACACUGGGACUGAGACACGGCCCAGACUCCUACGGGAGGCAGCAGUGGGGAAUUUUGGACAAUGGGGGCAACCCUGAUCCAGCCAUCCCGCGUGUGCGAUGAAGGCCUUCGGGUUGUAAGGCACUUUUGGCAGGGAAGAAACGGCCUGGGAUAAUACCCCGGGCUAAUGACGGUACCUGCAGAAUAAGCACCGGCUAACUACGUGCCAGCCGCCGCUGUAAAAC
rnacentral:rRNA from 1 species